CGUGUGGUCUUCCGAGAUGGGAAGAACACUGUUGAUGUGGAUCAUUGGAAGGAUGGAUAGAUGCUGUUGGAGGGAGGAGCGGCAGAUGGAGCCUGGCCAUGCUGUUCCUCUUUUGAGUUCUUCCGUUGAUAGCAUCUGUACA